rnacentral:rRNA from 1 species
AUUGAACGCUGGCGGCAGGCCUAACACAUGCAAGUCGAACGAGUGGCGGACGGGUGAGUAAUGUCUGGGAAACUGCCUGAUGGAGGGGGCUAACUACUGGAAACGGUAGCUAAUACCGCAUACCAUCGGAUGUGCCCAGAUGGGAUUAGCUAGUAGGUGGGGUAAAGGCUCCACUAGUCGACGCGCCCUAGCUGGUCUGAGAGGAUGACCGUCCACACGGGAACUGGUCAACGUUCCAGACUCCGACGGGAGGCAGCAGUGGGGAAUAUUGCACAAUGGGCGCAAGCCUGAUGCAGCCAGGCCGCGUGUAUGAAGAAGGCCUUCGGGUUGUAAAGUACUUUCAGCGGGGAGGCGUUACCCGCAGAAGAAGCACCGGCUAACUCCGUGCCAGCAGCCGCGGGAAUAC